rnacentral:rRNA from 1 species
UGUCCUACGGGGGGCAGCAGUGGGGGAUAUUGCACAAUGGGCGAAAGCCUGAUGCAGCGACGCCGCGUGAGGGAAGACGGUCUUCGGAUUGUAAACCUCUGUCUUUGGGGAAGAAAAUGACGGUACCCAAAGAGGAAGCUCCGGCUAACUACGUGCCAGCAGCCGCGGAAAUACGUAGGGAGCAAGCGUUGUCCGGAAUUACUGGGUGUAAAGGGAGCGUAGGCGGGAUGGCAAGUAGAAUGUUAAAUCCAUCGGCUCAACCGGUGGCUGCGUUCUAAACUGGGGAGCUAGAGUGCUGGAGAGGG